UUAAUAUUAAUAGUUAUGUUCUUUAAAUUAAAAGAAUUUGGCGGUUAUUUAAUCUUUCUAGAGGAACCUGUCCUGUAAUUGAUAAUCCACGAUUGAUUUUACUUUAAUUAUACUUAUAUAUCGCUGUCAUUGAAUGUUUUAUAAGAUUAUUUUCUUUUAUUUUUAUGAAUAUAAUGUUAGGUCAAGAUGUAGUUAUAUUAAAGGAGAGAUGGGUUACAUUUAUAUAAUUAAUGGAUUGAAAUUUGGAAUAUUUUUCAUUAAAUUGGAUUUAGGUGUAAUUUUUAUAAAAUAAUAAUUUUGAUUUUAGUUCUAAAUAAUGUACACAUCGCCCGUCACUCCCAUUAUGAGUUGGGAUAAGUCGUAACAAAGUAGGCCUACCGGAAGGUGGGCCUGGUUAGUU
rnacentral:rRNA from 1 species